CUUCAGCAGCAUCCUCACUAGCUUCUACCUGUGGUCUAUUCUGUACAAGUAUAAUAUCCUUACAUGGCGCUUGGAGCAGCAGCUCAGUAUGCAAUGGUGUACUCUCAGAUGAUCAAAACACUAAAUAUAUACAAGUACUUAAUUUAUUGGAAACUCAGCAAGAAACGGAUACUGAUAUCAACUGUGAAAGGCUUGUGGGUUGGAAGACUGGAAGCAGACCAGCAGGCAACAACUAGAUCAAUAUGAUAAUUGGAACACCCAUUUGAGCAAGAUGAUACGGCUAAGUAAUUUAGGUAUUGGAUGAUGAUUUCUGAAGCUGAGAGGGCCUCAACCUCGAACCUUCAUUUUAUAAAAGAAAAGAAGAAAAAAAAACAGAAUAAAAAAGGGACGUGAAACCAUAAUCUCAAAAAAAAAAAAAAAAA